CGCCUCCCAAAAGGUAACGGAGGCGCUCAAAGGUUCUCUCAGUACGGUCGGAAAUCGUACGUAGAGUGUAAAGGCAAAAGAGAGCUUGAUUGCAAGACAUACAGGUCGAGCAAGGAUGAAAAUCGGACUUAGUGAUCCGGUGGUUCUGCGUGGAAGGGCCAUCGCUCAACGGAUAAAAGCUACCCUGGGGAUAACAGGCUUAUCUCCCCCAAGAGUCCACAUCGACGGGGAGGUUUGGCACCUCGAUGUCGGCUCAUCACAUCCUGGGGCUGUAGUAGGUCCCAAGGGUUGGGCUGUUCGCCCAUUAAAGUGGUACGCGAGCUGGGUUCAGAACGUCGUGAGACAGUUCGGUCCCUAUCCGUCGCAGGCGUAGGAAAUUUGAGGAGACCUGUCCUUAGUACGAGAGGACCGGGAUGGACGUACCUCUGGUGUACCAGUUGUUCUGCCAAGGGCAUGGCUGGGUAGCUAUGUACGGAAUGGAUAAGCGCUGAAAGCAUCUAAGCGCGAAGCCAACUUCAAGAUAAGAUUUCCCACCGCAAGGGUAAGACCCCAGAAAGACUAUCUGGUUGAUAGGUCGAAGGUGUAAGUGCAGCAAUGUAUUUAGCUUAUCGAUACUAAUAGGUCGAGGACUUGACCAA
rnacentral:rRNA from 1 species